CGACUGCUAAUACCGCAUAACGUAAUCGGGAUGGCAUCUUCCUGAUACCAAAGAUUUUAUCGCUUAGAGAUGGGCUCGCGUCUGAUUAGAUAGUUGGCGGGGUAACGGCCCACCAAGUCGACGAUCAGUAGCCGGACUGAGAGGUUGAACGGCCACAUUGGGACUGAGACACGGCCCAGACUCCUACGGGAGGCAGCAUG
rnacentral:rRNA from 1 species